rnacentral:rRNA from 1 species
CCAGCACUAAAGCACCGGAUCCCAUCAGAACUCCGAAGUUAAGCGUGCUUGGGCGAGAGUAGUACUAGGAUGGGUGACCUACU